AUUUCAUAUUUGAGUUCCUUCAGAACUUUUGGGGCAGUUCCUCAGAUUUUUCACCUAGAAAGAAUGGCUGAAGUGUGGGAAUCCCUUUCACAUCCUCUGCAGUGAAUACCAAUGCAAA